rnacentral:lncRNA from 1 species
GGCUCCUCUGGUUCAGCGUGGAUCUCACAGCUAAGCAUCCUGCUGGAGGCAGGGAGGGGUCAGAGCUGAACUGACUUCUUCUGAUACAACUUCAGCGCUGCAGGGAAUGGAGGCAAUGUUCUGCUACGUGUGGACUCUGCUGGUGCACCUCUGGACUCAGUUGGAAGCAGGUGUUCCUGUUAGAGAUCGUGGAGCGGACAAAUGCAGCAAGCUCUUGUCAGAAAACAGGAACCUGUGAUGGUCAGCCCUUGAUUGGAAGGGGAUCCCUCAGUGCUGGAUCUGGAAUGGUUUCAUUUUCCACCAUCUCCCUCCUUCUGUAUUACCAACUGCAGAAGAUGAUCACUGCCUGACUUCUGCUCUUAAUGAGUAUCAGUUUUAAACAACAACAACGUGCUCUGCUUGGGCUGGCCAGGUCUCAAGUUGCCUUCAGCUCUGCUAGGAUCUCAGCCACCCUGUACAAACAUUUGCCAAGAGGUAAACACAUCUGGCAAAACCUUCACUUGCUAAGAAGUCAUCUGACUUGG